CGUGAUCUCGACUCACUGCAACCUCCGCCUCCUGGGCUCAAGUGAUUCUCGUGCCUCAGCCUCCUGAGUAGCUGGGACUACAGUUGUCCCUUCACGUGGGAUUGCUUCCAGUACCUCUGUGUAUAACAAAAGCUGCACCAUUCAAGUCCCACAGUUGCUCUGCGAAACCUCUGUAUAUGAAAAGUUGGCCCUCCAUGUACAUGGGUUUCCCAUCCUGUUGUCAUUCUUCUUGUUUCGUCUCCUCCUCCUUUCCCUGGAUGAUCUUAUUUCCUCCCUGGUCUUUAACCAUCACCUGCAGGCUGACAGCUCCCAAAUCUCUGUCUUCAAUCCGGAUGUCUGUCCCGGGCUCCAGUUUUGUGGUUCCACCUAUAUGCUCUACAGGUCAUAGAAUUUUCCACACUCCUUGACGGAGGUUCUUAACCCUUAUCCAUCAGCAUUCUCAGACAGCACCUCCGGUUAGGGACAGUAUCUGACCGUCCGACAUCCCUGCAGCCCCCAUGCUGUCACACAGACUCAGCCUCAGGUAGAUGGUUUCCGUAGAUGGUGGCUUUCUUUGGACCCUUGAUAUCAACCAGUUACUAUUUGCUCAGCAAGGCCCACAUUCUCCCGGUGAAGCCACAGAACCACAGGGAGAAAUCCAUGGACUUGGCCUCGCUCUCUAGGGGACCAGAUGUGCAGAGGUAAUGAAUACCAGGGAAUCAGGAAACCACUGGAUCAGUUCUUUGAGCCAUAGAACAACACUCAUCCCAGCAGCUGGGAAGCUAUCUGCAAAAGUCCAUCUGCAGAAAGGGCUUCCUGGUCUUGCGUGUGGCUGGGCCAUUUCUCUGGAUGCAGGUUUUUCAUUAUACAGUCUUCUCAAAGGACCACCUGCUCUCAACACC
rnacentral:antisense_RNA from 1 species